UGGGGAAUUUUGGACAAUGGGGGAAACCCUGAUCCAGCCAUCCCGCGUGUGCGAUGAAGGCCUUCGGGUUGUAAAGCACUUUUUGCAGGAAAGAAACGUCAUGGGUUAAUACCCCGUGAAACUGACGGUACCUGCAGAAUAAGCACCGGCUAACUACGUGCCAGCAGCCGCGGUAAUACGUAGGGUGCAAGCGUUAAUCGGAAUUACUGGGCGUAAAGCGUGCGCAGGCGGUUCGGAAAGAAAGAUGUGAAAUCCCAGAGCUCAACUUUGGAACUGCAUUUUUAACUACCGGGCUAGAGUGUGGCAGAGGGAGGUGGAAUUCCGCGUGUAGCAGUGAAAUGCGUAGAUAUGCGGAGGAACACCGAUGGCGAAGGCAGCCUCCUGGGAUAACACUGACGCUCAUGCACGAAAGCGUGGGGAGCAAACAGG
rnacentral:rRNA from 1 species